rnacentral:rRNA from 1 species
AUUGAACGCUGGCGGCAUGCCUUACACAUGCAAGUCGAACGGCAGCAUGGGUGCUUGCACCUGAUGGCGAGUGGCGAACGGGUGAGUAAUGCAUCGGAACGUACCCGGAAGUGCGGGAUAACGUAGCGAAAGUUACGCUAAUACCGCAUAUUCUGUGAGCAGGAAAGUGGGGGAUCGCAAGACCUCGCGCUUCAGGAGAGGCCGAUGUCGGAUUAGCUAGUUGGCGGGGUAAAGGCCCACCAAGGCAACGAUCCGUAGCGGGUCUGAGAGGAUGAUCCGCCACACUGGGACUGAGACACGGCCCAGACUCCUAAGGGAGGCAGCAGUGGGGAAUUUUGGACAAUGGGGGCAACCCUGAUCCAGCCAUGCCGCGUGAGUGAAGAAGGCCUUCGGGUUGUAAAGCUCUUUCGGCCGGGAAGAAAUCGCACAGGUUAAUACCUUGUGUGGAUGACGGUACCGGAAUAAGAAGCACCGGCUAACUACGUGCCAGCAGCCGCCGUAACAC